rnacentral:rRNA from 1 species
UACGUAGGGAGCAAGCGUUUGUCCGGAAUCAUUGGGCGUAAAGCGCGCGUAGGCGGCCUCGUAAGUCCGUUGUGAAAGUCAAAGGCUCAACCUUUGAAAGCCGAUGGAUACUGUGAGGCUAGAGUCCGGAAGAGGCGAGUGGAAUUCCUGGUGUAGCGGUGGAAUGCGCAGAUAUCAGGAGGAACACCGAUAGCGAAGGCAGCUCGCUGGGACGGUACUGACGCUGAGACGCGAAAGCGUGGGGGAGCGAACAGG